GAAAAAUUCAUUUUAACAUUGUUUCUGUAUACCCAUAUAUGCAUGUGUUUUUCCUUUCUGUUCUUAUGUGAAUUUUUAUGGCCUAAGAGUAAUGGCAAGCAGGUGAUUCACGGAGACUGUGGGCUCAGGGGAAUGACACCUGGAGGGAAAACAGAUGUCUGAGUGUGACCUGAGGGGGUCACUGGGCCAUAUAGUGGGGGAGCAGUGCUUAGGGAUGACCUGAGGGGGUCACCCAGGUCCUAAAUGUGUGGGAAGGGAUUCACAGAGAAUGUGUUUUAUGUUAUCUAUGGAAAUUUUCAGCUGUUCAGUGUGUGCAACCUUGGAAGAGCAGAGGUAUAUAAGGCAGAGGAUUGCCCUCUUCCUGGGUCGGUUUCACUCUGCAGAAACUCAGUGUUGCGGUAUGACUGUCUGACCUUCUUUGCAAAGAAAAAAAGCUUUCUUUUUUAAUUAUACCUGAGAAUGAGUCUGUCUCUUAUGCUAAUGAGAGUUGAUUUAAAUUUUGCUACGACAAUUUGGUGUCAGAACGUGGGAUUCCUUGGAUGUGUCUUUUGGACCUGUGAGCGGACGGUGACUGAUCAUCCUGAACAAUAGAAGUUCAGCCCUCACCCCGAUUAGAUUUGAGGGAGAAAGGGACCGACCGCCGAGGCCCGGAGGAGACACCACUGGAAUCAGGAAAGAACCGGAGUGGCAACAGAGCUCUCGGUUCCCGGUGACCGAGGUGCAAGCCGCGAAAAUGGACCCCGAUCUCGACUGCUCUCCACCGAGAAGACCAACAGCACUGUGGCCAAAUCCAGAAUGGAGACAAGAAGCAGCGGAAGACCCAGAUAUCAUUCCUGAAACCCCCAACGAGGAAAUUGAAGAGGAAAUAGUGCGCAGAGCACCCCCGACAAAGAAAAGUCAAACAGCGAAAGAAGAAAAUGCGAGUAUAACAGCUCCAUUGAUUGAAGUUUCUGGCCCUGACGGCCCUGUUAUGGUCUUUAGACCAUGGACUAUAACGGACAUGAAGGAAGCGAUGGCUCACUUGCUGAGCCCUGACGAAGCAGGUGAUACAUUUUCUACCGAAUUAGUCACCUUCUGCCAAGAAUUCAGCCCUACCGUGUAAGAACUGAGGAGGCCGCUGGCAGUGAAACUGGGGGCUACGAGCAGGCAUGAAGUGAGUGGAGAGCUGCAGAAAGAGGACUGUCGGAGAGAACACUGUGAAUGGAAAAGUGGAUGGCUAUCUGCUGUUUUAGCACACGCUUUGCAUGCAGAGGAGAUGCAGACGGCGAAGAAGGAAAGAGUUAAAGCCAAGACCAACAGAGAGUGGCAGCUGGUGUUUGUGCAAGCCGUGUCGAAGCCAGGGGGCUAUUCUGCGCAGCAAAACCAGCAAUCGAAAUCGGGAAGAUGGAAAAGAGGAGGAGAAAGAUAUCCGAACGAAACUGAAAGAAACUCUGAAAGAUGGGGUUGUCGGAUCUGUAAGACUGAUGAACAUAAGACAUUCAGGUGUACAAGAUACAGACUGUGCAAAAAAGGAUGGUCAUUGGGCCGAGGAUUGCCCAGAGAACCGGCAAAAUCAACAAGCAGACUGAAGCGAGGGAGACGGAGAGCAGAGAGGAGGGGUCCUGGGCGAGCAACCAACAGUCACAAGUCAGGCAAGUGAAAAUGUUCUAACCGCAAACACAUACACAUACACUGAUGUACUUUCUGCUCUCUGCAAUGAAGAAAACGCUUGCUUUCCUUUGUGUACGUCUGAUUCUGUUGAUAAGCAUCCUGACAAAUGUGCUAUUAUGUUUAAAAGUGAAGCUUUUAUGAAAAUGCCUAAAUAUCCUAUGCUAGUGGAGGGGAUAUUGAUUGAGUUUUUAGCUGAUAUAUAAUAUAUAUAUAUAUAUAUAUAUAUAUAUAUACAGCCAUGUGAUUUGCAAUGCCAACCACAAUUAACAGGUGAAAUGAAUGAGUCAAUUUCUGCAUCAGGGCACGUAAUUUGUGAAAGGUUCACAGUGCCUCUGAGGGGGUGAGGCAUGCUUUUCUCUAUACCCCUGCAUGUCCAGUGCCUUUGAUGGGGAGAAAUUUGUUGUGCAAACUAAAUUUGACGUUGACCGCAGACUCUGGGGGUGUCCGAAUGACAGAGAAAGAGCAGAUUUGCUGUCUGCAACACAGAACCAAAAUGGGCAUAUGAAUGGCACAUCAUAAAUUCUGAUUGGGCUGAAAUGAUAUGUGAACUGGCUAAAGAUAGAACAAAACCAUUUGAUAGAGAAAUCAUGUUUCCUGACAAAUUGCAUUGCACGUCACAUGUUGUAGUACAACCAGAUGGCCAGUAUGAAAAAGGUUUGAGGGAGGAAAAGGAGAAACUUUACAUUUUGAGAAAAUGUUUUAGACAGUAAAUGUGUGUUCAGUCUCAGUUUGCCUGACAGAAAAACAGUUUCAGUUUUACUUAAUGGAAGAUUCUGUGCCUCACUUAUCGCUUUCCAAGGACAGGAGCCAGACAGGGCCCAGAUUAGACUUGUUUGUGAAAAACUGUGUUUAUGCCAAAGACUGGAGACAGAUAGGGGAGGGAGUGAAACACAGUGAGAGUCUGGGAGUGUUUAUGACUGAGUGCAAGCAUGACAUUGAGACAGAGAGAGUUGUGGUACCCAUUGACAAAAGAAAGAGGGGGAAUCAUUGCAUGACAGUUAUUUUUGCCUUCAGAUAUACAUCCAGUAUUAACAAAAGUGCCAUCAGAGUUAUGGGCAAAACACAAAUAUGAUUUGGGUUUGAUUAAAGGACGUGAACCAGUUGUGGUCACCCCAAAAUCUGAUUACAGACCAUGUCAACAUCAAUACCCUCUAAAACAAGAGGCAAUUCUUGGUAUAAAAACAGUGUUUGAGUCACUAUUAAAAGAGGGGAUGGUGCUGUGCAAUGAUUCUCCAGUUCGCACUCCAAUUUUUCCUGUAAAUAAAAAUAAGGGAUGUGGGUCAGCCCACAGAGUGGCGAUUUGUACAGGAUUUACAGGCUGUAAGCGCUGCUGACAGGCAAAGAGCUCCAUCAGUACCAAAUCCAUACACAAUUUCGUCACAAAUACCACAAGAUGCAACAUUCUUCUCAGUGGUAGAUUUGGCAAAUGCAUUUUUUAGUGUGCCAGUUGAUAAAGACAGCCAAUUCUGAUUUGCAUUUGAAUUUGAGGGCAAAGGUUACAAUGAAGCCCUAAGAAGGAGUUUGGAAGCUUUGACCCUGACAGCAGGUACAGCUUUGUUACAGUAUGUGGAUGAUCUUUGCUUGUGUGCUCGUGAUGAGCUUAAAUGUGUAAACUGACACUGUGACCGUCCUGAAGCAUCUGGCUCGGGAGGGCCAUAAACUCAGCCUGACAAAACUGGAGUUCGUGAAACAACAGAUUACAUUCCUGGGGCAUGUAAUAACACUGAAUAGCAAAUCACUGUCUGAAAAAGGGGUUAAAGAGAGGUCCCAAAACCAGUAAUAACAAAUAAACAAAUGCUUAAUUUUGGGGAUGUGUUCCUACUGUAGAACAUCUAUUCCAAAUUAUGCAAUUUUUGAGCUGCCCCUGAGAGCCCUGAGAGGGAAGGGGUUGAAUUUAUAUUACAGGAUUGAGUUGACAGAGAAAGCGGGAGAGGCAUUACUGAACAUGAAAGUUCAGCUGUCUGUUGCGCCAACUCUGGGCUUGCAGGCUCCAAAUAAACCCUUUGUUCAGAUGGUUGAUGAGAAAAAUGUAUUUAUGAAUUCUGUAUUGUUGCAGCAUCAUGGAGACAAACUGAGACCUGUGUCAUAUUUUUCUAGCAAAUUAGACCCAGAAUUCGUAGGUUACUCUGAUUUGACAUUGAUGGUGUCUCACGCAGUGUCCAUGAUUUUGCAGGAAUAGAAAACAUCACACUAUCGACAGCACAAUGUUUAAGAUAUCAAACUAUUCUGCUUGAUGUACUUGAUAUCACUGUUAAGCAAUGCACGACCUUGAAUGCUGCUACUCUCCUCCCAACAGAAGAGGAUGGGGAAGAGCAUCAUUGUCGUUUAACAGCACUUGAACAAGUGUGUACACCACGUCCAGACCUGUCUGACGUGCCACUCGAAAAUUGUGAAAAUGUCCUCUUUGUGGAUGGCUCAGCUUUUAAAGAUCCAAAAAUAGGCCUGAAUAAGGUUGGUUAUGCGACAACUGAAUUUGACAUUGUGGCCUCUGGCUCAUUGCCAUCAAAUUAUUCAGCACAAGCAGCUGAGCUUGUGGCAUUAACAGAAGCAUGCAAACUAAUGACAGACAAAUGUGUAACGAUUUACACAGAUUUACUAGACGAUAUGCAUUUGGAGUUACUCAUGAUUUUGGUGCGCUGUGAAAACAGAGAAAGCUUUUAAAGUCAGAUGGGCGACCAAUAUUAAAUGCACCCCUCGUGGCAGAUUUGCUAGACGCUAUUUUGCUGCCAGAAAAGAUAGCCAUUUGUAAAUGUGCAGCGCAUACUAAUAACAAAGAUUCUGUAUCUACAGGAAAUGUCAGAGCAGACGCAGCGUCGAAGGCUGAAGCAUCUCAGCAGACAAAAUCACCAGAGUGUACUUUGUUAUCUGAAAAUAACCCUGACAUUUCUUCAUCUUUACAGGACAUGCAGACAUUUGCGACAGGGCAGGAGAGAGAGAAAUGGAAACAGUGUGGUUGUGAGGUGGUGAAUGGAGUAUGGAUGAGUGGAGAUGGCAAGCCUUGUUUACCUAAACACUUCUUUCCUCACUAUGCUAAGUCGAUGCAUGGGAAAGACCACGCAUCGAAAGGGGGAAUGAUUAUGCAAAUUAAAGAAUUGUGGUUUACAAAAGGGUUAAAAAAUGUAUGCAGAAAAUUUUUGAAAAAGAUUUGUCAUUUGUAAUAAUGUGGCAAGAGGCAUAAAAAUGUCUCAUGUAUCCCAGACAGCACAGAUGGAUUUCAUUGAACUGUUUCCAUGUGAAGGGAAGGAACAAUGGUUUGGUAUUUGUGGACAUGUGGUCCAAAUGGGUAGUGGUCUGCCCAAUGUCCAAACAGGAUGCAGCAGCAGUAGUAAGGGCUCUGCUGACUGAAAUAGUCCCGAGAUGGGGACAUUCCACGAAAAAGCAGUUCGGGCAAUGAAACACAUUUUGUGUAGGGGCAAUAAAAACCUAAUUGGCUAAGUGUUGUGAGAAAACUGGACUCACAUGGGUUAAGGUGCUCCCAAUCGUUCUCAUGUACAUGAGAAUGAGAAAUCGAUCCAGAGUAAACCUGAGCCCUUUUGAAAUUCUCUUUGGCAAACCGAAAUUUGUGAGUAUUGAAAGUGGGUAAACAACAGCUACCAUCUACAGGUGUGUGAGCAUGACACGUUGAGUUAUUGCAAGGAAAUGUCUUUUCUGUUGUCUAAUGUCUGUGUUCAGGUGAAAGCUGCUCAGGAGAAGGUUGCUGAACCACCGUUGCACAACCUGAAACCAGGGGAUUUCGUGGUGGUACGUGAUCUGAGGAGAAAGAGCUGGAAGGCGAAAAGGUGGCUGGGACCGUUCCAGGUGCUUCUGACCACUCACACGGCUGUGAAGCGAGCAGAGAGAGCAACGUGGAUCCAGGCUAGCCACUGCAGAAAGGUCCCACCUGCAUCUGAGGAGGAGGAGCUGAGGGAGUAAGGAUCUGGAGAAACACACGUCAACAAGGCCAAGAAUCCAGCCUAAACAUGAGAAUGGCCGUAAAAGAGCCUGAACGUACACAUAAUGCUGCUAAAUGAUUUUUGCUGCUAUUAUGUCUACUAUGUAUUUUUAGUUGAUAUCCAGCUCAGUACAGAGACUGGUGAAAUCUAGUGUUUCACAUCAAAUGGUUCAAAUGACUGUGUACAACGUAGACGUUAUCAUGGAUUUGAGUAGGGAGAAAACUACUUAUGAAGGGACAAACAGUAGUGGAAGCUACAGUGAAAUGUGUUAAAUGUAUGAGAUUUAUGAGAUUUUUUUUUCUUUGAAGUAAGAAAUGUUCAGGCCUAUCUGAAUGUAUACUGUUUGUUUGCUUGAAAUAGGGUCUGUCCCCAUAUAAAAAGCCUUAGCAUAUUUUCUAAAUUCUUUUACAAACUUAAGAGGGUGAUCAUUUAUGCUAAGAUCAGGGGGUGAAGAGUAUAAAUGUGAUGAAAUGCCUUAAGUUUGCUUUAUUUUGAAUCAUGUUUGUAUUUCUGAGUGUGAAAUUUUUGAUUUUGGAUCGUGUUUGUAUCUGCGACGUGACUGAGGGUCUGACUAAAUGUCAGGAAUGCAGUAGCAGUGACUUACUCGUUUAGCCCGGCGCCCAGAGCAAACAUAAUAUUAAGUGUGUAGUGAGAAUAUAAUCAGUAGUAAUGAAUUUUUUAUGUUUGAUUGAUCAAUGAAUGAUAAAAAGAGGGAAAUUGUGGUGGGAAAUUCAUUUUAACAUUGUUUCUGUAUACCCAUAUAUGCAUGUGUUUUUCCUUUCUGUUCUUAUGUGAAUUUUUAUGGCCUAAGAGUAAUGGCAAGCAGGUGAUUCACGGAGACUGUGGGCUCAGGGGAAUGACACCUGGAGGGAAAACAGAUGUCUGAGUGUGACCUGAGGGGGUCACUGGGCCAUAUAGUGGGGGAGCAGUGCUUAGGGAUGACCUGAGGGGGUCACCCAGGUCCUAAAUGUGUGGGAAGGGAUUCACAGAGAAUGUGUUUUAUGUUAUCUAUGGAAAUUUUCAGCUGUUCAGUGUGUGCAACCUUGGAAGAGCAGAGGUAUAUAAGGCAGAGGAUUGCCCUCUUCCUGGGUCGGUUUCACUCUGCAGAAACUCAGUGUUGCGGUAUGACUGUCUGACCUUCUUUGCAAAGAAUAAAAGCUUUCUUUUUUAAUUA